rnacentral:rRNA from 1 species
ACGAAGGGGGCUAGCGUUGUUCGGAUUUACUGGGCGUAAAGCGCGUGUAGGCGGGUCGUUAAGUUGGGGGUGAAAUCCCGAGGCUCAACCUCGGAACUGCCUUCAAAACUGGCGACCUGGAGCAAAGAAGAGGCGAGUGGAAUUCCUGGUGUAGCGGUGGAAUGCGCAGAUAUCAGGAGGAACACCAACGGCGAAGGCAGCUCGCUGGGACGGUACUGACGCUGAGGCGCGAAAGCGUGGGGAGCGAACAGGA